AGCAGGGGUGUCAAAUUCAGGUCUGGCUUAGAUCUGGCCCACGGGGCUGCCUUGGAAACAGCGAAGGACUGGCCCGCAGUGCUUCUGCCAGUG